rnacentral:rRNA from 1 species
GACGAACGCUGGCGGCGUGCUUAACACAUGCAAGUCGAGCGAUGAAGCACCUUCGGGUGUGAAUUAGCGGCGAACGGGUGAGGAACACGUGAGAAAUCUGCCUUCAACACUGGGAUAACUCCGGGAAACCGGGGCUAAUACCGGAUAUGAAACCUGCGGGCAUCCGCGGGUUUGGAAAGUUUUUCGGUUGAAGAUGAUCUCGCGGCCUAUCAGCUUGUUGGUGAGGUAAUGGCUCACCAAGGCGACGACGGGUAGCCGGCCUGAGAGGGCGACCGGCCACACUGGGACUGAGACACGGCCCAGACUCCUACGGGAGGCAGCAGUGGGGAAUAUUGGGCAAUGGAGGAAACUCUGACCCAGCGACGCCGCGUGCGGGAUGAAGGCCUUCGGGUUGUAAACCGCUUUCAGCAGGGAAGAAGCGAAAGUGACGGUACCUGCAGAAGAAGCACCGGCUAACUAUGUGCCAGCCGCCGCCGUAA